rnacentral:rRNA from 1 species
AUGGCGAAUCCGGAGGCCAGCAAGCCGCCGGGACCCGACGAGGCGGCGCCGGAGCGGCGAGCUGACGGGACGGCGCGCAAGGACGGCGCCGGCAACCCCCCUCCCCCGCCGUUCUUGGAGGUGACCUGCAGGAGCUCCGGCGAGGUGCGGCGGUUCGCGGCCGGGACGACCGCCCGGUACGCGCUGCACGCGGUGAACCGCAAGCUGGCCCCCGGCGCCCCGGCGGCGUUGCACGUGGAGGCGGCCAAGGAGGGCGAGGAGCCGGUGUGCUUCGGCCCCACCGCGCCCCUCGCCGACUACGGCCGCGGCUGGCGCCUCCAGACCGUCACCGAGCAGGACGCGCCGGACGCCCAUCACCACGCGCCGCCGCCCGGAGACGGGGGGAAGGGGGCUCGCGAGAGGGAACUGCUGAGGAAGAAGGGCGCCUCCCUGUACCUCGCCAAGAUCGGGCUCGCCUUCGUCUUCCUCUUCCUGCUCGGCGGGCUCUUCACCUACCUGCUCGAGACCAUCCCCGACAUGAUCCUCGCCUCCACUCCUCCUCAGUCCAUUUAG